rnacentral:rRNA from 1 species
AAUAGAUACCCAGGUAGUCCACGCCGUAAACGAUGGAUGCUAGCUGUUAUGCGUAUCGACCCGUGUAGUAGCGAAGCUAACGCGUUAAGCAUCCCGCCUGGGGAGUACGAACGCAAGUUUAAAACUCAAAGGAAUUGACGGGGACCCGCACAAGCGGUGGAGCGUGUUCUUUAAUUCGAGGCUAAGCGAAGAACCUUACCAGGGCUUGACAUCCUUGGAAUUUCUCCGAAAGGAGAGAGUACUUUAUUGGACCAAGUGACAGGUGCUGCAUGGCCGUCGUCAGCUCGUGUCGUGAGAUGUUUGGUUAAGUCCAUUAACGAGCGCAACCCUUAUGAAUAGUUGUAUUUUUCUAUUCAGACUGCCCCGGUAACGGGGAGGGAAGGGGGGGAUGAUGUCAGGUCAGUAUUGCCCUUACGCCCUGGGCUAGAAACGCGCUACAAUGGCCGGUACAAUGCGCUGCCAACCCGCGAGGGGGAGCAAAUCGCAUCAAAGCCGGUCCCAGUUCGGAUAAGAGGCUGAAACUCGCCUCUUUGAAGCCGGAGUCGCUAGUAAUCGU